UCUGUUUCGCCGUUGAAACUCGUUGAGGUUUCCUCUCAACGAGAAGAAAAGAAAUAAAAGCAGCGGCUACCGAUUCAGAUCGAGAAAUAGGCAGAGAUUCAGAGAUGAAAGAGAGAGAUUAAGAAUGAAUCAGAAAUUCUGGUGAUCACGAUGGUGUUCGAUAAAAGAGUUGAUGGUCUUAUGGAUGAUGUUUCGGUCGAUGUUUGGUGAUUUAGGGUUUAAGAAGAAAUUGCAGAUGAAACUGAAGAGGGGAUCGGAGCUGAAAUUGAUAUGGGUUUGUUGAGAUAAGGGUUAUUGAGAAAUGAGAUUGAUGUUUAAGUUAAGAGAAUUUCAGAAUUUCAGAAACUAGGGUUUGGAGUUGGGAAGAGCAGCUGAAACUGAUUCUUAGUUGUUUCCUAGCCCUAAUCUUCAAUCGAUGUCAACAAAUCAAGAUGUGCAAGAGCAUCAUCCUUCUGAUAUUUUCUGAUUUCCUGUUGAUUUCCUGAAAAUUUAAGGGUGGUAGAAUUUUGUAAGCUCUAUAAUGGAAAUCACUGUGAAGGAGAUGAGAAGAGGGUUUUGUUUACGUCCUUGGAAUUCGGUUCUAAACUCACGAUAGGAAUAAAUUCAACGUAUUUCAUGUGAAUGGAAUUUGCUGGAAUUAUAUAACUUCUGGAGGACUCCGGCUGAUACAACAACAAUAAUAACAAACCAAAGUAUAGAGAAGUGAGUCACAAACGACAGAGGCAGAUAUAAGGUACCAUCAACUUCGAAAAAGAAAAAGAAGUACAACGUCUUGGGAAAGGAAAAAGGGUAGCUAUGUCGUCCUGAGUAUCAGUUCAUGAAGACGAAUUCAAAAACAAAAGAAGAAGUUGAGGAGAAUCAAUUGAGCAAGCCAAAUUGAAGAUUUCAUCAGCUAAUGGAAGGUGGAAUCCAAGAAAAAAUAGAGUACUGCAAAAGCAAGUUGUAGUACUACUACAUCUCAAGUCAUGGUAGAACAAAGGAAAGUAGAAGUAGUUAUGUCAGAAGAAGAUUUCUGUAGUCAAUAUGGUACAGUAGACUAUCGUAAUAACCCAGCUGACAAGACGAAAACAGGAACCUGGAAGACUUGCCCAUUCAUCUUAGGAAAUAAAUGCUUUGAGAAAUUGGCAUAUUAUGGAAUGGGUACUCACUAAAAUUUCAAGUUUGGGUACAACACUGCAACUGGUAAAUAGGAGAAUUUGAUGGCAGCUGGAAUCAUUGACCCUUCUAAGGUUGUGAGAUGCCUGGCUAAUGAAGGGUGACGAACUGAAGAAACCGAUUGGUGUAUUAGCAUAUGUAGAAUGCAGUUCUAAGAACCAACAGGGAGGAAUUAAAGCUCUUUGGACUGACGUUGGGCCUGAUGUAGUCGAAAUGCGAUUAUAAAUGCUGCUAAACUGGCUAGUUAUGAUCAAAUUAAACGGUGAUAGAAUUGAAGUAGCAUAUCAAGAGGUUGUUGCUUUGAAGAGGCAAGAUGAGAGUGAGAAAAAAGUAUAUGGUGGAGCUGAUGACAAGGAAAAACGCUCCAAGGAAAAAUAGGUCUCGGAAAAAGCUUUCCGAAUAUAUAAAGUUUGCGAAUUUUGGAUGAGCGGUUCGAAAGAUAUAUUGUUUUUUAAAUUAUUUUAUAUUAGUUAAAACUGUGACAUCAUCAUGAGUCAUUUUGAGUCAUUUUGGACCAAACUGUAUAUAUAUUUGGACUAAAUUAUAAAUCAGAAAGAUUAUUUGUGUAUUU